AGAGUUAAACAGUGCGUGAAAUUGUUGAAAGGGAAACGUUUGACACCAGUUUUGCGGGUGGGAAAUCAGUCGCGUUGCAGUGGGGAGUGGCAAGGGUUCGGACCGCAAGGCUGACCUUUGUCUCAUUUCUGCUGCGGGCGAUGCACUUUUUCAUUUGCAGGUCAACAUCAGUUUCCUCCGCUGGACAAAACCCCAAGAGAAUGUAGCAGCUUUGGCUGUGUUAUAGCUCUGGGGCGAUACAGUGGCGGGGACUGAGGUUUUCGCAGUGUGUGCUCUCGGGCAAGGCUGACUGGGUGCUAUGGGAUGGUUCAGUGUACAAUGCAUGCAUCUUGCGCUGGGUCUGUCCUGUACUCGCCUAUCUCAGCUCUUCCACGCUUAGGAUGUUGACAUAAUGGUUUUAAACGACC
rnacentral:ncRNA from 2 species